CCCACCACCACCACUAGGCGUCCAUUUCACCACCAGCCACGAGUCCUGCCAACACGCUGACUGCUCCACCUCCACCUGCUCCACCUUCCCCACCUGUUCACCUGCUCAGUGUAUGGCGAGUGCGGCUGCGGCGACGUAUGAGCUUCAUGAGCGUGGGGCAGGUGUGGGCGGCAGUGGGAGUAAAGCUGAUGACGCCGCCAAUACCUGUGUUCAGACGUGUAGAUGGAAGCAAUAGAAAGGAGGAGGAGAAACAAAGGAGGA